rnacentral:rRNA from 1 species
UACAGGGGGUGCAAACGUUGCUCGGAAUUAUUGGGCGUAAAGAGCUCGUAGGCGGUUUGUCGCGUCUGCUGUGAAAAACUGGGGGGCUCAACCCCCCAGCCUGCAGUGGGUACGGGCAGACUAGAGUGCGGUAGGGGAGAUUGGAAUUCCUGGUGUAGCGGUGGAAUGCGCAGAUAUCAGGAGGAACACCGAUGGCGAAGGCAGAUCUCUGGGCCG